rnacentral:rRNA from 1 species
GGUUAAGUGACUAAGCGUACAUGGUGGAUGCCUUGGCAGUCAGAGGCGAUGAAGGACGUACUAACCUGCGAUAAGCCGUGAGCAGUCGGUAAGAGACAUUACGACUCACGGAUUUCCGAAUGGGGAAACCCACCCGAGAUAACUCGGGUAUCUGUUACUGAAUACAUAGGUAACAGAGGCGAACCGGGAGAACUGAAACAUCUAAGUACCCCGAGGAAAAGAAAUCAACCUUGAUGUGAAAUCGAGUAGGGCGGGACACGUGACAUCCUGUCUGAAUAUGGGGGGACCAUCCUCCAAGGCUAAAUACUCCUGACUGACCGAUAGUGAACCAGUACCGUGAGGGAAAGGCGAAAAGAACCCCUGUGAGGGGAGUGAAAUAGAACCUGAAACCGUGUACGUACAAGCAGUGGGAGCCCUUCGGGGUGACUGCGUACCUUUUGUAUAAUGGGUCAGCGACUUACAUUUUGUAGCGAGGUUAACCGUAUAGGGGAGCCGUAGGGAAACCGAGUCUUAACUGGGCGUCUAGUUGCAAGGUGUAGACCCGAAACCGGGUGAUCUAGCCAUGGGCAGGUUGAAGGUUGAGUAACAUCAACUGGAGGACCGAACCCACUAACGUUGCAAAGUUAGGGGAUGACCUGUGGCUGGGGGUGAAAGGCCAAUCAAACUCGGAGAUAGCUGGUUCUCCCCGAAAGCUAUUUAGGUAGCGCCUCGGACGAAUACUACUGGGGGUAGAGCACUGUUUGGGCUAGGGGGUCAUCCCGACUUACCAACCCCAUGCAAACUCCGAAUACCAGCAAGUACUAUCCGGGAGACCCACGGCGGGUGCUAACGUCCGUCGUGAAGAGGGAAACAACCCAGACCGCCGGCUAAGGUCCCAAAGUUCUGGUUAAGUGGGAAACGAUGUGGGAAGGCUCAGACAGCUAGGAUGUUGGCUUAGAAGCAGCCAUCAUUUAAAGAAAGCGUAAUAGCUCACUAGUCGAGUCGGCCUGCGCGGAAGAUGUGACGGGGCUCAAACCGGGCACCGAAGCCGCGGAUUCACGCUAAGCGUGAGUGGUAGGGGAGCGUUCUGUAAGUCUGCGAAGGUGUAUCGAGAGGUAUGCUGGAGAUAUCAGAAGUGCGAAUGCUGACGUAAGUAACGAUAAAGGGGGUGAAAAGCCUCCUCGCCGGAAGACCAAGGGUUCCUGUCCAACGUUAAUCGGGGCAGGGUGAGUCGACCCCUAAGGUGAGGCCGAAAGGCGUAAUCGAUGGGAAGCAGGUUAAUAUUCCUGCACGACUUGUAAUUGCGAUGGGGGGACGGAGAAGGCUAGGUGGGCCAGGCGACGGUUGUCCUGGUGAAAGUGCGUAGGUGGUGUUUCUAGGCAAAUCCGGAGACACAACACUGAGACACGAGACGAACGCACCACGGUGCGGAAGCCAUUGAUGCCCUGCUUCCAGGAAAAGCCUCUAAGCUUCAGAUUACAAGUCAUCGUACCCC